CGGGGCAUAAGCAUGGAUCUUUCUGAGAUCUUUUACUAUGGAGGGUAUCAUGGCAUCACAGUAAGGGUUGAGAGCAAAAGGAAUAGAUAUCCAUGCUUAAGUAUAGUAUUAUAAAAUUAAAAUAUAUAUGAUGGACUUUUAUACUACUUAUUGAUUUUCAUGUUCUAGAAAAGUAUGCAUAAAGUGUAUUUUUAAUAUCAUUAAUUGCAUAAAUUUGAUACAUG
rnacentral:lncRNA from 1 species